GCGGGGUUAGUUCAGUUGGGAGAACGUCAGACUGAAGUUAAACUUCAUUAAGCAAAUCUGAAGGUCGUGCGUUCGAUCCGCACACACCGCA
rnacentral:tRNA from 1 species